rnacentral:rRNA from 1 species
CGAAGGGUGCAAGCGUUACUCGGAAUUACUGGGCGUAAAGCGUGCGUAGGUGGUGAGUUAAGUCUGUCGUGAAAGCCCCGGGCUCAACCUGGGAAUGGCGAUGGAUACUGGCUCGCUAGAGUGCGGUAGAGGAGAGUGGAAUUCCCGGUGUAGCAGUGAAAUGCGUAGAGAUCGGGAGGAACAUCAGUUGCGAAGGCGGCUCUCUGGACCAGCACUGACACUGAGGCACGAAAGCGUGGGGAGCAAACAGGAUUAGAUACCCUGGUAGUCCACGCCCUAAACGAUGCGAACUGGACGUUGGGAGCAAUCAGGCUCUCAGUGUCGAAGCUAACGCGUUAAAGUUCGCCGCCUGGGGAGUACGGUCGCAAGACUG